NNNNNNNNNNNNNNNNNNNNAAGGGAAGGGAAGGGAAGGGAAGGGAAGGGAAGGGAAGGAAGAGGUCACCACGCUAGCACCCCAGAACAGGGCAUCUGGGUGGAGCCAGAUCAGUUUAUUCAGACAUUUUUGUUUUCGCAGGAAGAGAUUCUUUUGGGAAGGGGCCCUAGGUGAGAUGUCCUGUACUGGAAACAACCACAAGUCAGACUAAGGCUCUUAGCUUCCAAUUAGGUUGGUUUCAGUCUUUUAUAUGAAGUAUCUAAUUUUUACCAGGAGAAUGAUUGUCCAGAUCUUAAUCUUUUCUAAAGAUUAGUUUCCUGUCCUGGUUUCAAUUUCAGUGGAGUUUACCCUACCUUUUCCUUGUGACUUGUGCCAGGUAUGUAUGGAGGAGAAAGCAGUGUGUGUUUAUACGUAUAUGUGUGUAUAUGUAUAUAUACAUAUGUACGUGUAUAUACAUAAGUAUGUAUAUACAUAUACAUGUGUGUAUACACACACACACACAUCUUUCUCUCUAUAUAUAUCAGUAGAAUGGAGCAGGUUCUUAUGCCUAUAUGCAGCUGAUUCAGACAUUAAUUACAUAACCAUACAAAUGUGCUUGACUUUGGAGGGCCUCGUCCUGCCCACAGACAUUGAGAAAGUACAACCCUAUUAUUGCUCAGUACAACCUAUCAAGACCAAGACCUCCCGUAUUUCCUCCACGAAUUAUCUUUCACCAAAAUUUAAAAUGUCCAUACUGCUGUCUGUUACUAAUAAAAACAGCCUACCUCCUGUAAUUAAACAGUCGAAUCUGACUACAUGCCGAUUUUAUUGGUAGUGACUGUGGCACAUUA
ensembl:lincRNA Gm20554 predicted gene, 20554